GACAAUUGAAAUGCCGGGACAAUGACUUAUUAGGGACAAUGACAUGGCAUUUCACGCCCUCAAAGCGGGAACAAACGCUAAAACUAAAUAAAUACAUAGUUCUAAAUCUUCUACUAAAAUUUUCCUGCAGCGUUAGAGGCCUUUAAUUAAUAUUGGCGAACGAUGCUUCCCGCGCUACCGGGAUACUCCCUAUGGCAUAAACAUGCCGGUUACCGACCGUUUGGGGCUCAUUAACCCAACCGACCGUUAACCCAACUGAUCGUUAACCCAACUGGCCGUUAACCCAACCGACCGUUAACCCAACCGGGCCGUUAACGCCAUUCAACCGGCCGGUUGGGUUAAUGGGCCCCAAACGGUCGGUAACCGGCAUGUUUAUGCCAUAGGGCGUGCAAUACAAAAGCUUUACAAUAGCAGUACGCGAGCUGUACAAUGUGCAAAGUGCACCGCCGUUGCACAUGACCUGCAGGUAGC
rnacentral:lncRNA from 1 species